UACGGAGGGAGCUAGCGUUGUUCGGAUAUACUGGGCGUAAAGCGCGCGUAGGCGGCUUUGUAAGUUAGAGGUGAAAGCCCGGGGCUCAACCCCGGAACUGCCUUUAAGACUGCAUCGCUUGAAUCCAGGAGAGGUGAGUGGAAGUUCCGAGUGUAGAGGUGAAAUUCGUAGAUAUUCGGAAGAACACCAGUGGCGAAGGCGGCUCACUGGACUGGGUAUUGACGCUGAGGUGGCGAAAGCGUGGGGAGCAAACA
rnacentral:rRNA from 1 species